AAACCAGCAGCUAGUGUUAGUAGUGUGCAAAAUAUUCCGAGACUUAGAUGUAAAAAUUGUGGUAGAUUUCAUAUUGGUGAGUGUUGGGGAAGAGCCGGAGCUUGCUAUAAAUGUGGUGGAACUGAUCAUUUUAUUCGGGACUGUCCUCAAUUAUUAAAAGAAGAUAGAGAACAAGGGGAGAAGCAAGCAAAUACUCCUCAGAAAGGUAAACGUUCGGGUCAAAGUAGUGCUACUGGGACUGUUCAUUCGGGAACGAGAGAUACUGCAGCCCGAUCAGAGACAAGAGUACCUGCACGUACAUAUGCUAUCCGGGCAAGGGAAGAAGCUUCUGCUCCAGAUGUGAUAGCUGAUCAAGAAUCCAAAGAAGAACGAGGAAAAGAAAAAGUUGCGGAAUAGUCCCAAAAUUUCAAUAUCUUCUACAAAUUAGCCGGAUUGACUUGAAGUGAAGUGGGUAGAUCGGAUCAACACAACAAAGCACACUAUCCAGAUCAAUUCCGGUAGCUUUUGUUUUAUGUUUGAAGAUUUAUAUGGCAUGUAUAGAGUUUGAAUGAAUUGAAGUAAAGAUGUUAUAAACUAGUUAACAAUAUUUGUACUAAAA